rnacentral:rRNA from 1 species
UUUACCGGGGCUAAGCAUGACACCGAAGCUAUGGACAGGAAUGUGGUAGGGGAGCAUUGCAUGCAGCGGAGAAGCAUGACCGGAAGGGCAUGUGGAGCGCAUGGAAGAGAGAAUGCCGGCGUGAGUAGCGGCACGUGGGUGAGAAUCCCACGCACCGAUGGCCCAAGGUCUCCAGAGGAAGGCUCGUCCUCUCUGGGAUAGUCGGGACCUAAGGCGAGGCCGAAAGGCGUAGCCGAUGGACGACGGGUGGAUAUUCCCGUACCCGAUGUGUGGCGAUGGAGUGACGGAGAAGGCUCAGGCAACCAGCUGCUGGAAUAGCUGGGGCAAGCGAGAUACCUGCGNNNNNNNNNNAGAUACCUGCGCACCAGGGAAAUCCGGUGCGCAUAAGGGGAAGGCGCGAUGCAUACGGAAAGCUUCGGCAAGUACGGAAAAGCUGAGAGCAGGCUUCCAGGAAAAGCUUCUAGCACCACACACAUCGGCCCGUACCGAAAAUGGACACACAUGGGCAAGGAGAGAAUCCUGAGGUGAGCGAGAGAACUAUAGCUAAGGAACUCUGCAAAAUGACCCCGUAACCUAGGGAGAAGGGGUGCUCCAG